rnacentral:rRNA from 1 species
AACGAACGCUGGCGGCAUGCCUAACACAUGCAAGUCGAACGAGACCUUCGGGUCUAGUGGCGCACGGGUGCGUAACGCGUGGGAACCUGCCCUUAGGUUCGGAAUAACUCCCCGAAAGGGGUGCUAAUACCGGAUAAUGUCUUCGGACCAAAGAUUUAUCGCCUUUGGAUGGGCCCGCGUUGGAUUAGCUAGUUGGUAGGGUAAAAGCCUACCAAGGCGACGAUCCAUAGCUGGUCUGAGAGGAUGAUCAGCCACACUGGGACUGAGACACGGCCCAGACUCCUACGGGAGGCAGCAGUGGGGAAUAUUGGACAAUGGGCGAAAGCCUGAUCCAGCACUGCCGCGUGAGUGAUGAAGGCCUUAGAGUUGUAAAGCUCUUUUACCCGGGAUGAUAAUGACAGUACCGGGAGAAUAAGCUCCGGCUAACUCCGUG